AGGUAAGGGGCUAGGCGGUAGAGCAGCCGUUUUAACGGAAAGAUGAAGGUUCGAGUCCUUCCGUCCCGA
rnacentral:tRNA from 1 species